rnacentral:rRNA from 1 species
AGGGGAGUAGACUAACAGGAUUCCCCUAGUAACUGCGAGUGAAGCGGGAAGAGCUCAAAUUUAAAAUCUGGCAGUCUCUGGCUGUCCGAGUUGUAAUUUAGAGAAGUGUUGCCCGCGCUGGACCGUAUACAAGUCCUCUGGAAUGGGGCGUCAUAGAGGGUGAGAAUCCCGUCUUUGAUACGGACUACCAGUGCUUUGUGGUGCGCUCUCGAAGAGUCGAGUUGUUUGGGAAUGCAGCUCAAAAUGGGUGGUAAAUUCCAUCUAAAGCUAAAUAUAGGCGAGAGACCGAUAGCGAACAAGUACCGUGAGGGAAAGAUGAAAAGGACUUUGGAAAGAGAGUUAAACAGUACGUGAAAUUGCUGAAAGGGAAACGCUUGAAGUCAGUCGCGUCGUUCAAGAAUCAGCCUUGCUUUUGCUUGGUGUACUUUUUGUUCGACGGGUCAGCAUCAGUUUUGACCAUUGGAUAAGGGCCAGGGAAAUGUGGCAUCUUCGGAUGUGUUAUAGUCUCUGGUCGUAUACAGUGGUUAGGACUGAGGAACUCAGCACGCCGCAAGGACGGGUCUUUGACUACGUUACGUGCUUAGGAUGCUGGCAUAAUGGCUUUAAUCGACCCGUCUUGAAACACGGACCAAGGAGUCUAACAUGCCUGCGAGUGUUGGGUGGAAACCCGAGCGCGUAAUGAAAGUGAAGUUGAGAUCUCUGUCAUGGAGAGCAUCGACGCCCAUACUGAUGUUACUGACGGAUAUGCGGUAGAGCAUGUAUGUGGGACCGAAAGAUGGUGACUAUGCUGAAUAGGUGAGCAGAGGAACUCUGGUGAGGCUCGUAGCGA